UGGGGAAUAUUGGACAAUGGGGGCAACCCUGAUCCAGCCAUGCCGCGUGUGUGAAGAAGGCCUUUUGGUUGUAAAGCACUUUAAGCAGUGAAGAAGACUCCAUGGUUAAUACCCAUGGACGAUGGCAUUAGCUGCAGAAUAAGCACCGGCUAACUCUGUGCCAGCAGCCGCGGUAAUACAGAGGGUGCAAGCGUUAAUCGGAAUUACUGGGCGUAAAGCGAGCGUAGGUGGCUUGAUAAGUCCGAUGUGAAAGCCCCGGGCUUAACCUGGGAACGGCAUCUGAUACUGUUAGGCUAGAGUAGGUGAGAGGAAGGUAGAAUUCCAGGUGUAGCGGUGAAAUGCGUAGAGAUCUGGAGGAAUACCGAUGGCGAAGGCAGCCUUCUGGCAUCAUACUGACACUGAGGUUCGAAAGCGUGGGUAGCAAACA
rnacentral:rRNA from 1 species